AUGAAAGUUAACAUUGUACCUCUAAGGAUGAUGUUAAGCGUAUACAGAUUGAAGACCUCAAUACAAAUGACGAUAAUACGAAGGUGCAAUACUAACAAAGAGGUUAUGCUAUGUCCUCACUGUAGUACGGUGUUCGACAAAGCUGUUGCGCAAACCUUUGAUAGGUCUGAAAGAAAUAAUUCUUUCAACAAAAAAGGGUUGGGAGGUACUAGUUAA